GCCUCUGUGGACCAUGGGAGUCGCCUCCCUUUCAUCAUAAUGUAGUGCUUCCACACACGAGUUUAUGGAGGAGCCGAGGGUUCGACUCCCUCCGGAGGCU